AUUGAACGCUGGCGGCAGGCCUAACACAUGCAAGUCGAGCGGAGCGGCGGACGGGUGAGUAAUGCCUAGGAAUCUGCCUGGUAGUGGGGGAUAACGUCCGGAAACGGGCGCUAAUACCGCAUACUAUCAGAUGAGCCUAGGUCGGAUUAGCUAGUUGGUGUGGUAAAGGCCUACCAAGGCGACGAUCCGUAACUGGUCUGAGAGGAUGAUCAGUCACACUGGAACUGAGACACGGUCCAGACUCCUACGGGAGGCAGCAGUGGGGAAUAUUGGACAAUGGGCGAAAGCCUGACGCAGCAACGCCGCGUGUGUGAAGAAGGUCUUCGGAUUGUAAAGCACUUUAAUUAGGGAGGCGGUACCAACAGAGAAAGCAACGGCUAACUACGUGCCAGCAGCCGCGGUAAUUC
rnacentral:rRNA from 1 species